rnacentral:rRNA from 1 species
AUACGGAAGGUCCGGGCGUUAUCCGGAUUUAUUGGGUUUAAAGGGAGCGCAGGCGGAGGUGCAAGCGUGCCGUGAAAGCGCGGGGCUCACCCCCGUACAGCGGCGCGAACUGCUCCCCUUGGUUGCGGGAAGGGAAGGCGGAACUCGUGGUGUAGCGGUGAAAUGCAUAGAUAUCACGAAGAACUCCGAUCGCGAAGGCAGCCUUCCGGCCCGCCAACGACGCUCAUGCUCGAAGGCGCGGGUAUCAAACAGGAUUAGAUACCCUGGUAGUCCGCGCGGUAAACGAUGAACACUCGGGAUUUGCCCCCUGUGGGUGAGUCCCCCAGCGAAAGCGUUAAGUGUUCCACCUGGGGAGUACGCCGGCAACGGUGAAACUCAAAUGAAUUGACGGGG